GUAGGGUGCGAGCGUUGUCCGGAAUUAUUGGGCGUAAAGGGCUCGUAGGCGGUUUGUCGCGUCGGGAGUGAAAACAUCCAGCUUAACUGGGUGCUUGCUUUCGAUACGGGCAGACUUGAGGCAUGCAGGGGAGAAUGGAAUUCCUGGUGUAGCGGUGAAAUGCGCAGAUAUCAGGAGGAACACCGGUGGCGAAGGCGGUUCUCUGGGCAUGUCCUGACGCUGAGGAGCGAAAGUGUGGGGAGCGAACAGGAUUAGAUACCCUGGUAGUCCACACCGUAAACGUUGGGCGCUAGGUGUGGGAUCCUUUCCACGGGUUCCGUGCCGUAGCUAACGCAUUAAGCGCCCCGCCUGGGGAGUACGGCCGCAAGGCUAAA
rnacentral:rRNA from 1 species